rnacentral:lncRNA from 1 species
GUUGUCUGUGCUCCUCUCAAGAUAUAGUUCAAGUAUAAUUUAGUGUUUGUAACCAAAUCUGAUUAUUUUCAGAGGCGAAAGGCAACUGAAGUCUGAAUGUGGUCCUGUGGGAUGAAACCUUGGAGCCCUUCAGGCUGCUUGAAGUUUGUUCAUUGAUCUAACUGGAGACUUCUACUUAUGUGUUUUCAGAAGAAUGAGUUCUUCAGCAAGCUUGUAGAAGUGAAGCAGCCAAUACACUUCAGCAAGACAGAGGAGAAUGUCUUUUCUUCACCCCUCAGGGAAAAGGCUGGUGUUCAUCUGGAUCUCACCCUGCUGUGGGCGGCUGGGCUGUGCAUAGCUAUCCUGUCCUCAAACCUAGAGACAUACCCUCUAUCUUGAAAGUUCUGCCAUCCAUUUGUGUGGAUUCAUGGGUAAGAUCAGGGUUUAAGAAGAUGGGCAACCAUACAGAAUGCUUAUUUGCUUAAGAAAAGAAAUGUGUUUAUAAAUGUUUAGCUAAUCAAUUACUAUGAUAUUACUGUGAUAUUAAUUAAAUUUCACAUAAUAAUAAUU